UACAGAGGAGCCAAGCGUUGUCCGGAUUGACUGGGCGUAAAGCGCACGCAGGCGGGUGCGCGCGUGGGGGGGGAAAUCUGGCCGCUUAACGGCCAGGCGCCAUCCCAUACGGCGCGCCUGGAGCCUUGCAGAGGUCGGUGGAAUUGCCGGUGUAGUGGUGAAAUGCGUAGAUAUCGUAAGGAAGACCAGUGGCGAAGGCGGGUCUCUGGACAGUUCCUGACGCUGAGGCACGAAGGUCGGGGGAGCAAACGGG
rnacentral:rRNA from 1 species